UACGGAGGGGGCUAGCGUUGUUCGGAAUUACUGGGCGUAAAGCGCACGUAGGCGGCUUUGUAAGUUAGAGGUGAAAGCCCGGGGCUCAACUCCGGAAUUGCCUUUAAGACUGCAUCGCUCGAAUUGUGGAGAGGUAAGUGGAAUUCCGAGUGUAGAGGUGAAAUUCGUAGAUAUUCGGAAGAACACCAGUGGCGAAGGCGGGUCUCUGGGCCGAUACUGACGCUGAGGAGCGAAAGCGUGGGGAGCGAACAGG
rnacentral:rRNA from 1 species